GAUGAACGCUAGCGGUGUGCUUAAAGCAUGCAAGUCGAACGUGAUCCUUGGAUUCGUUCAAGGUGAAAGUGGCGAACGGGUGAGUAACGCGUUGGUGAUCUGCCCCGGAGUGGGGGGAUAACUAUCGGAAACGAUAGCUAAUACCCCAGAUGUUAUCGUAUUUGGAAAGCGAUAACUAAAGUUCAGGCGCUCCGGGAGGAGCCUGCGUCCCAUCAGCUAGUUGGUAGGGUAAUGGCCUACCAAGGCAAAGACGGGUAGGGGGCGUGAGAGCGUGGCCCCCCACACUGGUACUGACACACGGACCAGAUGCCUACGGUAGCAGCAGCUAGGAAUAUUGGGCGAAUGGGCGAAAGCCUGACCCACGCAACACCGCGUGAAGGACGAAGGCCUUCGGGUUGGUAAACUUACUUUUCGUAGGGAAAGGAAGAAAGGAACGGUACCCUCGGAAUAAAGGCCCGGCCUAACUAACGU
rnacentral:rRNA from 1 species